UGAGAAGUUGAAGAAGAUGCUUAGUGCAAAUCCUAUGGUACCUUUGAAUAUAGAGUGUUUAAUGGAAGAAAAGGAUGUUAGGGGAAUUAUUAAGCGGGAUGAAUUUGAGCAGAUUAGUAUUCCUAUUUUGGAACGUGUGAAGGGACCUUUGGAGAAGGCCCUUCUUGAUGCACAGCUUUCAAUAGAGGACAUUCACACAGUUGAGGUUGUUGGUUCAGGCUCUCGUGUUCCUGCUAUAAUCAAGAUAUUGACAGAUUUCUUCAAAAAGGAGCCUAGGCGAACUAUGAAUGCAAGUGAGUGCGUUGCCAGGGGUUGUGCUUUGCAAUGUGCAAUUCUUAGUCCAACAUUCAAAGUUAGAGAGUUUCAGGUGAGUUUAACUCUUGCUUUGUCGGUGAAUUUGUUUCCAUUAGUUGAACCAAUCUGUAUAUUGUCUGACCUGCUGGCUUUUGCAAAAAAUUAUGUUUUGUUAUUAACUAAUGCUAUCCCAUUUAAUAUGAAGGUUAAUGAGAGCUUCCCAUUUUCAAUUUCCUUGUCCUGGAAAGGUUCUGGUCCAGACGCUCAGAAUGGAGCAGCUGAGAACAACCAGAAUACCCUUGUUUUCCCCAAGGGAAAUCCUAUCCCAAGUAUCAAGGCCCUUACAUUUUACAGAUCGAGCACUUUUUCAGUUGAUGUCCAGUAUGCUGAUGUUAGUGAUUUGCAGGCACCUGCAAAAAUCAGCACAUAUACGGUGAGUGAAUAUUGAAUCUUAAACUUGUGCACUCUAAUUUCUGUCAACGCUAUUAGGUCAUCUGCCAGAUAUUUCCUAACAUUCUACUACACUAUACAUGUGCAGAUUGGUCCUUUCCCGUCUGUUAAAAGUGAGCGAGCAAAACUAAAGGUCAAAGCUCGCCUAAAUCUGCAUGGGAUUGUGUCUGUAGACUCAGCAACUGUAAGAUUGUUAAAAGCAUUUUGUGCUUCUAGAUGUCUUUGGUUGAUUAUCUUUCUAACUCUAUUUGUUUUUCUUCACGUGCUGUAGCUUUUGGAAGAAGAAGAAAUUGAGGUUCCUGUCACAAAAGAGCAAACAAAGGAGGCUGCUAAGAUGGAGACUGAUGAGGCACCCAGUGAUGUGGCUCCCCCAAGUACCGAAGAGACUGAUGUUAGCAUGCAAGAUGCUAAGGACACUGCUGAUGCUCCAGGUGCUGAAAAUGUUGUUCCCGAGUCCGGGGAAAAGCCUGCGCAAAUGGAAACUGAUGCGAAGGUCAGUCGUCAUGAUUCAUGUGUUUUUUCCAUUUGUUAUUUUCGUGGACCGCAACAUUUGUGUUUUUUUUUUUGGGGGGGGGGGCAAUAGUGCUUAGCUACUCAAUUUGAGUCAGUUAUAUGUGGGACUAAGGAAAUGAAUGACUUAUGCCUAACUUUCUACACUUUGCUGUGAUAUAGUCCACUUGUGCUAAGCUUUUCCGUGAUCAUUCUUUUCAUGUUCAAUCACGUUAACUAUAGGGAAGGGUUGGCAAAAGUCAUCAUAAUCUUUUAACCCAUAAUCUACAUUUAAUGUCACUACAGAGAAGAGAAAGGAUGAUGGACUGUACUGAGUGUUGUUUAAAAAUUCAGUUUUGGAAUGGUCAAAUGCUAUCAGUGGUUUUAUUUGGUUCUAUUUGUGGGUUCUGUACUCUUAAUGUCUUGGUUUUUGCGAUGCAGGCUGAUGCUAAAAAGAUAAAGGUAAGGAAAACAAACAUUCCUGUGACAGAGUUAGUUUAUGGAGGGAUGCCACUAAAUGAAGUGCAGAAGGCAAUUGAGAAGGAGUUUGAAAUGGCCUUACAAGACCGUGUUAUGGAAGAAACAAAAGACAAGAAAAAUGCUGUCGAGGCAUACGUCUAUGACAUGAGAAACAAGGUAGUUUGCUUGUAUGUUCGCAACACAUUUUCCUUUUUAUUUUACCAUUUUUUUUUUUUACUAAAUUUCUCUUUUGUAUUGCCAGCUCAAUGACAAGUAUCAUGAAUUUGUCACUGAAUCUGAGAGGGAAGCGUUUAUUGCUAGACUUCAGGAGGUGGAGGACUGGCUGUAUGAAGAUGGUGAAGACGAAACCAAAGGAGUUUACAUUGCCAAACUUGAGGAGCUGAAGAAGGUGAGGAUUUUCUUCUUUUUAAUGUGUUUUGGUGCGAAGUUCUCUGUUUUCUCUUGUCCAACUUGAUGUCGUUGGUUUUGAUUCUUUUGAGCAUCGGUGGUUUUUUCAAAUUGCAGCAAGGUGACCCCAUUGAAGAGCGAGUCAAGGAGCAUGCGGAGAGGGGAACAGUGGUUGAUCAACUUGCUUACUGUGUCAAUAGUUACAGAGAAGCUGCAGCAUCAAAUGAUGCAAAAUUUGAACACAUUGAUCUGGCCGAUAAACAGAAGGUAAGGGACUCGAUGAGCUGUCUUCCCCUUCCCCAGUCUCCACCUUUUCAACUCACAAUAUUCUUUUUGUGUUGUUUAGGUAUUGCACGAGUGUGUUGAAGCCGAGGCCUGGUUAAGAGAGAAAAAGCAACAACAGGAUCUGCUCCCCAAAUAUGCCAACCCAGUACUCUUAUCAGCUGAUGUGAGACGGAAGGCUGAAGCAGUUGACAGGUACUAUUUCUUGCAUGGAUAAAUUUGUUUUCUUUGGUUAGUUGACGAACUGGUUGUCUUAGACAACAAGAACCUAUUGCUUAUUCAUAAAGUCUUUUGGAAGCCUUUGGGAUAUCUGACAGUGGUAACCUUUUCUUAUAUCCACUUUUGUUGACAGGUACUGCAGACCGAUAAUGACGAAACCCAAACCAGCACCAGCCAAGCCCGCUGCUCCUGAAACUCCACCAACCCCACCUCCUCAGGGAAGUGAGCAACCUCAGGGCAGAGAUGCAGAUGCCAAUCCCGGCCCCAUGGAGAAUCCUGCUGAUGGCGACAAUGAGGCCCCACAGGCUACUACAGAACCAAUGGAAACCGACAAGCCAGAAGCUCCACAAAGUUCUGCGUAGUUCUGUAGAGUAUCCGCCUUUCUAUGGUUCUUAUGGCGUUUCAUUUGAUUCUUUAGCAUAAUACACUUCCAUUUUGAGCCUUAAAACACGGUUUGGACGGAGAGGGAGAGGCCCGUGGUGUGCUAAAUGGAUGAUAUACCUCUAGGUGUAAAGCCUUUUAUCUGCUUGUGGUCUGUCAGUUUUUAAUUAUUGGUACAAUCGGUCUCUAGAAUUCCGGGUUUUUUGAAGAGAAGUUUUGCCCUCGGGGUCUCUUUCCCCCCUUAUGAUGGGAUGGAGACCGAUUCGUUUUCAUUCUAAUCUUGUUUUACAUAUGUCAUUGAUACUCUUUCUUCCUAUAUCUUUGAACUUAUCUCCAAAAUUGCUCGAUUUUGUUCUGCGAAUUUUGCAUUGAUGCUCUUGAGGACAGGUUUUGAAUUUUAUAGUAGCAUUUUGUUGGCAUACGAAUAUAUGCGUCAAGGUUCUUCGUCGGUGCAACAUUCAGUGCGCCUUCGUUGACGCCCGGUGGAAGUGUGGGUUUAGGUCUGAGACUGGCUUUUCGAUUUCCGUUCUCACCGGCAAAGAUGAGGACUGAUAUGAUAGAUGAAGCACAUUCCUUGCUUAAAGUCAUGGAAGAAAACGACCUAAACUCACAUAAUAUCAUUUUUAACGGCUUGGCUAGGAUGGGUGGCCCAAAUCAAGCUUUGGAAAUGUUUGCCAAAACGAAGCAUUCUAAGAUUGAACCGGAUGCAGUUACUUAUAACACUAUUCUUGGUCGUCUAAGCUGAGCUGGUUUGCUUGAAGAGGCUGCAAAGCUGAUGAAAGGGAUUCGACAGGAUUUGAAUAUGAUCUCAAUACUUACUCAUCAAUUCUUGAGGCGGUUGGCAAGGUCGAUGAUAUUCAUAAGUCUUCCUUAAUGGCACUACAUACAGCCGGUUUUAAUCAUUGUUUAGAAUUUAGGAUGGUUGGAGACUUUCUUAAGAACAAGCAGAGUGUGAACUCACUCAUGAGUGACUAAUUCUUUCGCAGGUCAUACACCCUAUUAAUUGACAGCUUAGCAGCAUUGCAUCCUAUAGAUUUUUAGUAUCGUCGAGGUUGGGAACUUGGCAAAGAAAGGAAAAAACUACUGGUCGUUAUAAAGACGAUGCGUUAUAGAACUUCCUCUUGUACCGAAAUUGGAAAAGAUGCCACCCUACGACCUGAAUAAGGGUUGCGGUUUGGCUUCAUAAUCUGCACAGCCUCAUGUUACUUAUCCAAGAGCUGGACAAAUUCAGCUCAUUACUGCUGAAAAGGGUAGCAAUUUUGAUGCUCCUCAUUAAGCCAUCUAACGUUCCAAACCAUGUAUUUGCAAUUUUUCGUAUUCGAGCUAUCUACACUCCCAACUAAAUAUUUACAAUUUUUUGUGCUCUCACAAGUGUGGAGUGUAGCCGGCUGCCCAAGGAGUGUUAGAAAAACAAGCCUUUCAAACAUCACUUACUCCUUAAUUUUCGUCUUUGAUGACCAUUUGGUUUUUAGUUUUUAUUUUUUGUGCUAAAGAUAUAAAAGAAAUAGAUGGGAGAAAUGAAGAACAGAAAAGGAUGAAGGGAGGUGGUGAAAGGGAGAACUCAAAGAUGUUAUAUGAAAUCGCAUCAUUACAUAUACGUUCCUUUCAUAUUUUUUCACCGUCACUCUCUCUCCCAUGUAUCUAUAACACGAAUGAAAACUAAUAACUAAAAAUUAAAAACGAAAUUGUUAUUUGAUAGGCCCUUAUCAUAUUACCCCAAUCCCAGUAGUAAUACGAAAUAUUUAAUUUCUAAUUACCAUAUCUGAUACAAAAUCAACAACUUAUUUCCUCAAAAGAAAUAUAAAGGGGAUAACGUCUUCCCCAAUUGAUACAACAGCUUGCAGUUAACAUAAUCCAUUAAUAUUACAGAUAGAUACCGAUAUUACCCGCUAGCAUUUUUGGCAGAGUUAUCAUUCUCCUCGUCAUCGUCCUGCCAUAUUUUCGCUAUCUCAGCCUGCGCUAUCUCCAUAAUCUGCCUCUUAUGCAGUUCAAGUCUCUGUGGCAAUCCAUUCUCAUCUUCUCUAGUUCCACCAUUUGCUUCCUUUUACUAUUUUCAAUCUUCUCAUGUAUGUCGCUGAACUUUUGAAUGGAAUCAGCAAGCAAUCUAAAGGAACCCCGAUCAUCAUUCUCCCUUCCAUACCUUCUCGUCUUGGGUGGUAGCCCAUCUGAAUCGUCAUCCCCUCCCUCAGCUGAUUCAGAAUUCCCUGGACUAUCCCUCAUCUCAUCCAACCCAUUUGCACGGUUUAAAUACAUUUUAGGGUUCAUGAAAACAUACUCCCCUGAGUCCAAACCACAAGAGAGGCCGGCUUGCUGUUGUAAUGAUGACAUAAACAUAUCCAUCUUUGUGAAGUAAACCCACUUACUAGUGGCACCACUAGACUUUGCGAACUUGGCCCUCUCCUUCUUGUACUUUUUCUUCAACCUAUCCAACUGAUUGCGACAUUGUGUGUCUGUCUUUUCAAUCUUGGACACCUCUGAUACUUUCUCUGCAACCUCUUGCCACUCCUCAGAGCGAAGACUCUUUUUUCCACGUUGAAGGAACCGGUCACCCCAAGCAUCUAGUAACACAAAGUCUCACGUUCAAUCCAAUCUGUAAGCACAUUUCGACCACCAAUUGAUUGUCUUGGAGCAGAGGGUGCAACGGCAAGAGGAGGAGGAGCUGGCAAACGAGGAUCAAAUUCAUAACUUGAAAUCAAACUCUUUAACUUACGCUUCUUUGGGUGAGUUUUCAAAUCAUCAUCAUCUAGCCUUCUAACCAUCAUCUUCAUCAUCCUCUUCAUCAUCACUAUCAUCCUCGUGAUCAUCAUCCCCAACACCUUUAUGAACAGAAGGAUAGCCAUUUUGACCAUUGUUAUCUUCUUUUUCCUCACCCAAUUCUUCAUCAUCAUCAGUCUCAUCUUUUUCCUCAUCAUCGGCAUAGUCAGUACCGAUUGGCCUAGGAUAUGGAACACCACCGCGAGCAGGAAGCUUUUGGCGUUGCGAAGAACCAUAGCCCUGCUAGUGAUUCCCACCAUACAGGUUUGGAGGAUACCUUGCGUCAUUUUCGAUGUCAUCCAUUUCAACACGAACUCAAGAUUAACAACAAAACAACCAUAAAGAAGAUAACUCAGAAAGACUCUAGUUCCUAGUUCGAAACCACCAGUUUUUCCAUUUCGGGAUUAAGCUCCAUACACCCCCAUUAUUCUUUUUCCCCUCUGGAUUCUAAAUCCAACCAACAACUUCUCCUCCUUCAUAGAACUAAACUAGCUCCAAAUCAGCAUUUCGUUAAAAAAACACGAAAACAGCAAACCCCACAUCAAAAUCUUCCUCAAAACAACGUAUUGCCCAAAGAAAAUCACAAUCAGAGAAUAUAUAACACAGUUAGGUCAACAAAAUUGGGAAGUAAACCUAAACCCCAUCAACCUUCUAGUUAAAAUUUCACAAAUUUAUCUUUCCAAACGCAUGAAAUCUAAAAACAAAAACAAACCCACGAUUCAAAUUUUAAAGAUUCUUGAGCUAAAUUCAAAUUCCAAGAGUUUCAAAAACAAGAAAUGAAUGAAACCCUUAGCUCUUACCUCAAAAUCCAAACUUCCCCAGAAAUUUGUUGGGUGGAAAGCCAAAUUGAAGCUUCCUAAAGAGGUUUAACUCGACAUUUGCUAAAAAUUUGCAAUCAAUUGUGUCUUUUUUGGGGAAACUAAGAUGGGAAGAAGGGAAAGACAAGAAGGCAGAGAGAGAGAGAGAGAGAGAGGGGGAGUAAAAGAAUUGGGGAUUAAAGAGGGUCACUGCAUCUAUACGCGGCACGCCUAACUGCCCGUACGUUAUUUUUCUUGCGGUGCAGAUGCCUUCCUGUUGUAUUCGGGUGGGCUGGGCCCUGCAGAUUUGGGCUUCUUGUAGUUGUGAGUACAGGUCUUAUUUUGAUUUGGGGUUUUUGUCGGUUUGUCUCCGAACUUGUAUAGAGCUGUUAAUUUUUUCUCAGAAUUUCAAUUUUAGCUCAUUUCCCACUGAACUUUUAUAAUUGGCCAAUUUCCCCCUAGAACUUUAACUUCAGGCAAUCACCCCCUAAAUUUUUAUAAAUAGUCAAUUUUUCCCUAGCGUUAGAUUUUAAACAUUUUCAUCCAAUUUUUCAUUAUUGCCCCAAUACAGUUGUCAUGUGUUGUCUCGUGAUGAAAAUAGAUGGAAAGUUGGAUGAAAUUUUUUAAAAUCUAGCAUCAAGGGGAAUUGACUAUUUAUAAAAGUUCAAGGGGAUAAUCGGCUAAAAUUAAAGUUCAAAGGGGAAUUGACAGCUCUAUACAAGUUCGGGAAGCAAAUUGACAAAUAUGCCUUUGAUUUUUACCCAUUUUUGGUUUGAAAUUUUUGCCAACUUCAGAAAUUUGGAAAAAAUGUCAUUUUCUCAAGGUUUGAUAAAGAGAUGGCUUAACCGUGGGUUUUCUAGAUGUUAGUGAUACUUUUAAUCAUGUCAAAUUUUUUCUUGUGGGCUUACAUCUUUUGUUCGUAUCUCAUGAUAAAGUUGGUGCGCUCUUAUCUCUAUGUACUUGACAUAUUCAUUGGCAGUUUUGUGUGCAUAUUCUUUAUAGAAGUGCUCACUAACUACUUGAUUAUUUGCAGUUUCUCUUUGAGAACGGUGCUGCUUGUAUUCAAUUCAAAGAGAAGGUGCUCCCUUACUAGUCACAUUGGUAGUUUUGUGCAAAAGCAUCUCUUAUGUGAUAGGAAUUGAAGAUUUUCCUACUUGGCAUUUUCUCAUCGGUUCACCUACAAAGUAAAUAGUAACUACCAACCUGACUUUUCAAUGAGCUUGACUAUUGCUUUUAGAAUAUAGCAAAAUUCAAAAUUCAUUAUGAUAAAACUUGCUAUCACUGCAUUACAGCAGGCAAUGCUGUCAAACUAUUACUUUUUCUGAAGAAGGAAAUGAACAAAACAAAACUAGCAUGAUUGUUUACUAACAUAAACUCCCAAAAUCACUACAAUUGCAAAUGUUCUAUCAUGAUAUACAUUAUUUAUUGGGAGAAAGGAGGAAAAAACCAUUUUAUGGUAGGAAAAUGAGUUAGAAUAAAACUAGGUCAAAUGUUCGAUACUCUUUUAUUAUAAUAAAAAAAUGAAACAAGGAACACUCUGAGAAAAAUCCUUGCAUGCCUAUCAAAAACUUGUCGAUAAUGAGUGAACCAAAAUUAAUUGGAGUUUGUACUUGAAAUUGGAUAAAGUAAUACACUAGUUAUACGAUCAGGGUCAUCCAAUAAAUUGGCAUUGAACUCACUAUUUUCAAGAAUCACAUAUAGUUAAUAAGAACAGUGCUAGACGAUAACACUAACUAUGUCGUCACAAAUAAAUAAUUAAAAGGCUUAAAUGUCAAAAUGGUCCAUGUGUUAUAACUAUAUGGCAAAUUUAGUCUCGUGUUUUCGAUUUGGCUAAUUUAGUCAUCGUGUUUGUUUAUGUUAGCCAAUUAAGGACAUUUCAUUCAAUCUCUUUUAAAAUAUUCAUAAGAAAAAUCAUAUGAGAAAUAAUUACCCUUUCUCUUUACAGAAAAUACAAAUCAAUGAGAAAUAACACAUAUAAGAAAUAACACUUCCAAUCUGAAAAAUGAUUAAGCUUGUGAUAUAGAAAAGAUAGGGGGGUAAAAAUAUUAGGGAGGAGGUCGGAGAGUUGGAAGGAGAAUAAUUUUUCUUUUAAUUUUUAAUUUUAUUUCAUUUUAAAUAUUUUAAAUCAAAUAAAUUAUAAUUUAACAAAUAAGUUUAGAAUAAGAAAAAUUACAUAUAGAGUAUACUUUUAAUACUUAAUUGUAUAUUGAGACAACACUUUUUAAACAUUUCAAAGAGAGAUAAAAGUUAAUACAUGUGAAAAAUGAUAUCAUUGCCUCUCUUUUUUUCUCUAGAGUGUAAGUUACAAAAUUACCCUUUAUAGUGAAAAAGUCUUUUUCACACUUAUAUCUCUUCAACCGUUGCUCUUUUCUCUCUUCAAGAAAUAUUGGUUCCAUUUAAUUAUUCAAUUUAAUUAUUCAAAUGAAUGAAUGAACUUGUGGGUCUACGACCUCUACCCAAUUUACCAUCCCAUUCCCAUUCCUAGUUGGACAAUUAUAGUUCCCAUCUAGUUUUACUUAUUUGUUAGAUGGGUAUAAUUCCCUUCUUUUUUUCCUUUUCAAGUUAAAUGUGCCUUGAAAUUGGAUUGAAGGAUGUUCUUGCUGCUUUAUAGUAUAUGAUAUUCAAAUCAAACACGAUUUAUCAUAGAUAACCUUCCAUUGACCAAUUUAAGAUGAGUUUCAAAUCAAACAAAUUUUGAAUUAGAAGACCUUUGCCUUGCUUCUCUCCCAAAAAAUUCUACUGUUUUAUUUCAAUCUCUGUUAACGAAAAAAAAUUCUAUCAAAAAUUCGAAUUUGUAAAAUGAAAAAAAAAAGUACAAGAACUGGAUUUUGCAAAUGAAAAUUUAUCGAACACACCUACGACUUAAUAAACCAAAAGAUGAAUUAGUGAAGUUUUGUUAAGAUUGUCAUUUAUCGUAGAUGGAUUGAACUGAUUCUACAAAAAUGGUCGAGGACGGGUUGAACUGCUGCAAAAAUGGUCGAAGAUGGGUAGUGAUUCUAAAAAAAUGUCGAUGACGGGUUGAAUUGAUUCUGCAAAAAUGGUUGAGGAUGGGUUGAACUGAUUCUGUAGAAACGUUGAACUGAUUCAGCAAAAAUGGUUGAGGACAAGUUGAACUGAUUCUGCAAAAGCGGUCGAUGACGGGAUGAACUGAUUCUGCAAAACAUUGAACUGAUUAUGUAAAAAUGGUAGAGGACGGGUUGAACUAAUUUAGCAAAAAUGGUCGAGGAUGGGUUGAACUGAUUCUGCAAAAAAGGUCGAGGACGAGUUGAACUGAUUCUGCAAAAAUGGUCAAGGAUAGGUUGAAUUGUAGGAGGAAGGGUUGAACUGAUUCUACAAAAACAGUCGAAAAUGGGUUGAACUAAUUCUGCAAAAAUGGUUGAUGGCAUGUUGAAUUCACAAAAAUGGUCGAUGAAUGAUUGAACUGAUUCUGCAAAAAUAACUGAGGAUGGGUUGGACUAAUUUUAGUAAUAAUGAUACAAACUAAUUCUGCAUAUAGUUUUAAAACUGAUUUUGCAAAAAUAGUCGAAGAUGGGUUAAUUGUCACAGCCCGUCCCGGGAUUCUUUAUAUCGGGGACGUGAAAUGAUGGAAUUACCCUUGACGGGUAUUAAGGUAUGUGUGUGUGUGGCAUAUUAUUUGGACUAAAUACACAUAUUUCAUAAGCUUUUGGAAAAUAAUUUAAGUUGGAUUAAAAUUGGGUUGUAAAUUUGUGUGGUUAGUGAAUGAUAUUGUGACUUGUUUUUGGGUGGACUACACAACACACACACAGGACUCCCCUUUCCUUUUCCCCCGUGCUCUCUCUCUCUCCUCUCCGUUUCAAUCACUUUCUCCCUCUCGAAACCGUACGGACGAGACCAAAUUCCCUCUAAACAUCGCGGAUCGACGCCAAAAAGGUAAGGUUCUUCAUCCUUUCGAUCUCCUGAGUCGUUUGGUACUAGUUUUAGAACGAGAAACCUUCGAAAUCACGUGAAACCUGAACCCCAGUUUUAUGUCACUGUUCAUGCAUUCGUGAUAUGUUGAUUUUCAGGGAAUUCUAAGCUUAUAGUGAGCUUAGUGAGGUCCCAAGGAAGCUCGGAGUGCUUCGUUUGAAGGUUUUGGACGUCGGGAUCAUUGAGUUCGAAAUUGGCCGGUUUUCUUGGAAUUUCUCGGUGAGAUUUUGUAGUUUUUAGAGCCUUAAAGUAGUGUAACGUGAAACUACAUGCUUAGGGCUUCAUUUUGAUAUAAAAUACGAAGAAAAUGGUUGAGAAAUGACGGAGAACAAGGAGAUUGAAAAAUCUCAAGUUUUCCGGCCACCGGAAAAACCAGUCCGGCGAGCUCGAGGUAGGAGACGCGCGUGGGAGGCGCGUGGACCCGUGCCUGUCCAGGCGCGUGGGGGCGUGUGCAGCCUCAGAAAAUUUUUCUAAAAAUUUCUUGACGUCCAUGACGUCGAGUAGGUUGAUGUGGUAUAUUCAUAUACCCAAUUUAAGCACCGUAUGAGAAGUUAUUACGAAUUAUCGGUUAUGUGCUUCAAUUAACGUUUUUAUAGUUGUUUCGCAUAUAGGUGACACUUAUCCCAAGGACGAGCGCAUCCAGGGACGUCACGGGGGUUAUGACCCAUCAACUUACCAGUGAGUGGGCAGUAUUUCUGUUUAUACCUAUACUAUUGAUAUUUUUCCCAGAAAUUGAGUUUAAAUGAAGUAUGUUUUAAAAUGCCAUGCAUGCAUAUUAUGAGAAAUAUGAAUUGAUAAUUGAUGCAUAUAUAUAUGUGAAUUGGUGCUGUUGACGCACAUGUGAGUAUUAUGUUAUUCAUGUGAAUCAUUGAUGAUGUGAAUUGCAUUGAGAGCUCAUAACCUACACCCUUGGUGUUAGUGCUUAUAUUAUUCACCGCACCACACGCUCACCUUGGAUCCAAGUAGGUGCAUGUCGUAUAGACCAUGUGAGGGUUCCGACAUGCUAGUCGUAUAGAUCACUAGAGGUGGUUCCGACUAGUAGGUGACCUUAGAUUAUGCGCGCAGAUGAUUGAAGAGAGAAGCACUAGAGCGUAUUCUUACACCGUUCUUAUCGUAUAGACUACUUUAGGUAGUUCCGAUUUAUGUGCAGAGUAGUGCCGUACAGGUCACCGUGGUGAUUCCGGCUGGGUUGGAUAUUGAGCUAUAGAAUGAACCAUACAGGACCAACUGCGGGGUCUCCGGUUGUUUCAUUAUAUCACCUGUUAUAUUGAUGCAUCCAUAUUCUGUCAUUGACAUUAUUGCAUGGCAUACUUGCUGGAUUUUGGUAAAGAUUAAUGUUUUGAGAGAUUUGAACAAAUAUUAUGCUAUUAUGUUAUUUUCUGGGAAAGUAUACAGGUUUUACAGUGAGGGGUUAGAAAUGUUUUAAAUGAAAUGUUUUGGAAAACUUUGGUUUUACUGACCCACUCAAUUUUGUUUUGCGCCCCUCCAGGUUCUAGUUAGCAGUUGGUGGCUCACGAGGUUUUCUUCGGCAUUCUGACAGACUUCCUACAUGUAGGACUCACCUGCGGGUGUUGUAAUUUAAUUAUAGUCCUACUUGACUGCACCUAGUAUUUAUGCUCUGAAAUUGUGUACUGCACACUUAAACUCACUCUAGCGUGCUAGUUGGAUAUUACUGCUAGUAGUUGGUUUUUAUUCCUUCGUAUUUCUCAUAACUUUUGCUUCCGCAUCGUACUUUUGGUUACGUCACGCUCACGUGACGGCCAUCACACCUUGAUUCUUGAAUCGGGGUGUGUCAUUAAGCUUAUGGCACAUUAAUUUUGUUGGAGUGAUGAAGGCUGAGUUAUAUUAUUAGCCCUAAAGCUUUAAGGGUAUGACUGAUAUUUUAAAACAUUGUUUCCAUGUUUUUGGGAUGGGCUUUAGUUGUUUUUUAUAUUUUUGUUUCUCCUUGACAUGCUUAAAAACUAGUAGAGUUUCUUGAAAUAUAGUAUUGUCUCUCUAUAUAGAGCUCCCUUUUUUUUCUAUUAUAAAUAAACGGUCCAAAUUUAAUUUAGAGUUUCUUAUUAUAUAGUCCUCAAAUUGAAGAUUAUAUUAUAGAAACUUUUCCAUUCCAUUGGAGAUGUUCUAAGAAAGACGUCCAUCACUUCUACCCCUUGUAUGAUUUUAUUUUGGGUGCUUAGUUGUUUCUAACCUCAACAGAAUAAAGUUAGAGAAAUUGAAUUAUAUGGUUUUACAAGAGAUAAUCCUGAAGUGGGAACGAAACUCCCAUGAAAAAAUGUAUAAUAACUUAAAUAAGUAUGGUGGCAUAAUGUUUAGUUUAUACAUGUGUUUUCAUUUGAUUAAUCAAUUAAGUAAAAUCUUUUUUAAACUAGAACCAGAUUGUAGUAAAAAUUAGAAAAAUGAGUUACCAAGUGAAGAGAAGACCGCAUAGCGCAGUGGAUUAGCGCGUUUGACUUCGGAUCAAAAGGUCGCGGGUUUGCCUCCCACCAAUACUUCAUUUGUAGAUAUUCUUAAUUUUUUGUUUCACGGAAAUAGCAGCUGCAUGUUCAGUUUAUUCACCACCCACUUUAUUCUCACAUGGUUCAAUUUGUGGAUGUAAUUAUUUCCAUUGGAUUUUAAUUCCGUAUCUCCACAAUCACAAUGCAGCAGAAACAGUUUGUAAAUUUUCUGGGGUUUGAGGCAUUGAGCUGCCUGGUCUAAGCAUAAAUGUAGGACUUUAAUAGAACGGACAAUCGGAGACAUGAGUGAAUUAGACUACAAUUCUUUUUCUGAGUGUGCUGUGCAGUCACUGACUGACUGCAUGAAGAAUUUGAAUUGGUGCCGGAGUACUGAUACAUUUAUUUCCAACAAUGUCAAAUUAGGAAAUACGAAAAGAAACAAUCGUGCAUUGGAUGAGUAGGGUUGUGUAGGGAUUUUCAAGUUAAACACGGAUAAUCCAAGAACCUCGUCCUCAAGUACAAUCUAUUCAUACAGAUACUCAAGUAGAGAUGCAGAAACUUGUAAGAACAUAUUGAAUAUUGAAUCUUCUAUAAAUCCACUGAACUCCACGAUCGAUACUAUACACUGAACAUGUGUGUACAAGGGAAUCACAUUCGGACUCAAGAUCUGUGUUACAUACAAAUCAUUUUCACUACUCCCUCAACGUCCUACUUGUAUAAUGCAUUUGAUAUCGGGGAAAAUUUUUGAAGUCCAAGAGGAAGAGAGCCAAAGAACAACUGGCUUCAAAGGAUGAUGGUAUAGGAAGACUCAAAAUAAUCGGAAAAGAAGAUUACCGCAAUUAAAAUAGUUCACUAUCUUUACUCGGCAACCUUUUUCCUCCUACCACCACGUCUUGGAGUAAGAGUGACAAGCUCUUCAGCCUCUUCCGGUGGUUGCUAAUUAUUUACAAGGUCUUUUGACGAAUUAUAAUUAAUUUAUAAUUAAUUGAUAAUUAAAGCACAUCCAAAGCCCAACUCCAAGGGUGAGCCCAAUUUUAUUCUCCAAGGUCCAUCACUCCAAUCACUUUCUAUAAGGGACAAAGCCUUAUAAAGUAAGGAAACCUUGUGGUGGUGAGCAAUGUGGGACAAUGAAAUUCUACUCAAAAUUUCCAACAAUUUGUCUUCUUCAGAAGUUCUUUUGCUGCAGAAAGCUCACCAGCAACCGCAUCACCACUUAACAUAGCCUCAUCAAGGGUCCUCUGUAGUGAUUCCCUAACUCCAGUAAACUCGGCCCGAACCCUAGAGAUCUCAGCUUCAAGUUUCGUGUACAAAGUUUUUGACUAUUUUAAUUGAUUUUCCAUAUUGGAAGCUUAACUUCUUGAUUUUGCAAGAGCUUCCUGAGUGCUCUAGAGUUCAUGUUUCAAAUUCGUUUCAAUUUUCAAUUCUCUAUCCAGAAGUUCCUUUAAGUUUUCAUUCUCUCGGGUCAAAUUAGCAAUUAAUUCUUUGUUUCUACUUGUGUCACUCAGAGCAAGUUCAAGCUUUUUCUUUAGCUGUUGAAAUUUCUCUUCCCUUUCUCCCAAAAGCUUAGCAUCCAAAUCCGCCUUUCUACAGGAGGAUGUUUUCAGAUUAUUGUAUUCCUCCUGAAUAGAUGAAACUCCCUCUUCGAAUCAUCUAAUUCAGAAGUUAAAGAACUAACUGUUGCAUUCAGUUCAUCGAGAGAGGAAUUCUUCAAUUCUAAUUCCUUUUGAUUUUUCAAGAGUUCAUCUUUCAACAUUUGACUAUCUGAAAGUGCAUUGGUUAGUUCAUCCAUCAUUUGAUUGUAGGUAGCUUUCAAGUCCCUCAACUCCAAAUCUUUUUCGGCAAGGAAUAGCCAAGACUUCAGACAUUGUUUUCUGUAUCCUUGAUUUCUGAAUUAAGCUAAUCAAUCAUCCCCUGUAGGACUUCAAUUGAGUUUUGCUUUUCCUUCAAAUUCUCUUCAAGUACUACCUUUUCUUCUCCGGCCUUUGAAAGGUUGGUUUUAAUACUGUCAAUUUGAAUUUUAAGCUCCUCAAUCAAUUUCUUUUCACCAUUUAACUCCUUUCCUAAGCUUGCAAUUGUACUUUUUGCCAAACUCAGUUCGCUUGUUAAAGAAUUUUGCUCUUCCUUUGCCUUUGCAAGUUGCUUGCUCCAUUCUUCUUGUUCACCUAGUAACUGAGAUUCAUAGCUCUUCCCCAAUGAAACAAUAGAAGCUUCCUUUUCUUUCAGCUUGGUCUUCAUCUAUGCAUUUUUAACCAAAGUAAAUGUGGGUUAAAUCAAACAAAGUAUCUAAAAGUAUUUUUAUGAAUAGAACCCAAAUGUAAAUGUGUGUAAAAGGGAAUCACAUUCGGACUCAAGAUCUGUGUUACAUAAAAAUCAUUUUCACUAGUCCCUCAACGUCCUACUUGUAUAAUGCAUUUGAUAUAGGGGAAAUUUUUUUAAGUCCAAGAGGAAGAGAGCCGAAGAACAACUGGCUUCAAAGGAUGAUGGUACAGGAAGACUCAAAAUAAUCGGGAAAAGAAGAUUACCGCAAUUAAAAUAGUUCACUAUCUUUACUCGGCAGCCUUUUUCCUCCUACCACCACGUCUUGGAGUAACAGUGAUAGAUGUGGAGCCAAAAAUAAUCACAAGGCAACACGUGGAUUUUUGGACAAAAGAGGACAAAAUUACCCUCAAGGCACACUGUAUUUCCUACGCGCGAGCAGUGGACAAUCAUUGGUCAAUCAAGCCAAGAGUGCCGAAAAUAGGUAACAAAUCCAAAGUUAUUUCAUCCAUCCUCAUCCUAUAUUGUCCACAGGGUAAUUAUUUCAUAACCUUCAAAACAUACCUUAUAAAUUGUGUUAAUUGCCAAAUAAAUCACCCAUUACACUAAAAAAUUACCCAAAAGGCCGGCCAUUCUCUCUCCCAAGAGAGCCGGCCAUGCUCUAUAUAUUGAACCCCAUUUUCUCUAAAAAGCUAAGUACACACUCUUGCAAAACUCCAAAAACUCUUUAAACACUUUUCUCUCUAAAUUCUAACUUUGGCAUCAGAGGUUCUUCGGCCAAAGCCCCCCCAUUCAUCGUGGGCGCGUGAGGCUUUUGGCCUUAACUAAAUGUGUUAAUUGUUUUGUAGGUGCAAUUUUGUCCAAGAUCAAGGAGGAAGAAAUUUGCAUCCACAAAAUGGUGCUUUGAUUGAGAGAAGAGUCACACACUCGUAAAAGACUCAUGCAUCAAAAGGUUUUUCUAUUUUCUUGUCCAUUUGUAGAUUUUUUGUACGUUCUUAUUAUUAGAAAUUUUUAUUUGCAAAGAUUCUUUGAUAAAACGUAAAAGAGAAAUACAAUGGCUAGAAUUUUAGAAAAUUCCAUAAGUGAAAAUUCCAAUAUUCAAGAAAUGGGACCACGACAAUCCACGAGGCUAAGUGUGAUCAUAGGAGCGGCACCAUCGCUACGGGGCUCCACCAUGGCAACCACCGCGGUGGCCACCACGGUCACCACUACCCAUGGUGAGGUCCAUGGCACCGCUACCACUGCCCGAGCCGUGCCAUCCAAGGCUCAAGACACAAAGGUCACUGCCCAAGCCAUGUCACUUCAAGCCCAAUGCGAACUUAACGCGUUGCCAAGCUAAACCAAAGCCUUGCACCCGUGUGCAUCACACUCCGAGCAACAUGUUUCCGUCGAGCAGCCCACUCUCAUAGCCCAGCCUCUCUCUCCGAGCAGCCCACUUUCGUGGCAUUCCAAGCAGCCUAAAUUGAUCCAAGAUUAGUUCAACUAUCCUGGCUCCAAAUUUCCAGAUUGACGAUCAAACCAAGAGCAUUUUCACCACAUUUUUCUGCGGAUUUGGCAUUUCCCAACUCAAAUCUCGCGCUUGGAGUCUACCACACUUCCACUGCUCAAGAAGAUGCAUUCCUUCCAAGCUAUUCCAACCCAAAUGGAGAACAACACUUGUCUCGACAAGUCAUAGAGUUGACGAACGCCCUCUCACAGCAGACAACUUUGGUGAACCAACUCUUACAGCGCAUCGAGAUGCAAAGUGUCCCACACGAGGUGUCCUGAAGUAGGACAAGGGCAGACAAAGAACCUUUGCAGCAGCGUCUCGGCAAGCAGCCACUUGACCAGCCACUAACCAAGCGUUCAGGCAGUGUACACUCCUGAUUGGGCCUCCGAGAUAGCGUAUACUUCCGUCUUAGAGCGCGAAUGAGCGUGCACUUUCGACUAAGCCCACAAACGAGCAUACAUUCACAGUUGGGGUCACACUCCAAUAGUCAACAUGAGCAACUUUCCAGGCGAAGUGUUCAUUCGCGGCUAAGUCCGCAAGGAGUAUCCUCCACCUCACAUCGGAGUAGGCAGCACGACAAAUUGAGAGAAGCAGUCACUCAAUUCGGCUCAAGUUUAACCGGCAGUCUGUGAAGAACUCGCUCGCCUGCUAGGAACGCGCUACACGCAUCACAUUCGUGGCAUAGACGAGCCAACAUAUGGAAAAGUAGCCUAGACCAAUAAGUCACUGUUGAGGGCAGCCGAGAGCUCCAUUACCUCAACAAAGGCAAAUUCAGGAAAAAGUAGAGAGACUCUUGACCAAGCGAUUGCGCAAUUUCCAAUGCAACAAGAUCAUCGAUGAGGCACUACGACGGAAAAUGACCAACAUAAGCAGGUUACUUUUCACCGAUGAGAUCGACCAGGCAGAGCCUUCACACGAGUUCAGCAUGCCACAUUUCACAUCUUUCAAAGGGGAUGAAGACCCGGAGAGACACUUAAAGCACUACCGAAGCACAAUGAUCCUCUAUCGAAACAACGAUGAUCUCAUAUGCAAGAUAUUCGCCACCACUCUACAAUGUGAAGCACAAGAUUGGUUCUACACCCUGCCGCCACAAUCCAUUUGGAAUUUCGACGAAUUUUCUUUGGUUUUCACCAAAGAAUAUUCAUCCUAUCGCUCAAUAAAAAAGAAGUCCGACCAUUUGUUCCACGUCAAGAAGAACCCAAAGAAGUCGUUUUGCAACUAUGUAAGGAGGUUCAAAGCAGUGAAAGCAAGGAUAGUCGGAUGCAACAACUUAAUAGUUAUAACAGCCUUCCAAAAAGGACUUCUAGCAGACCACCUGCUAUUCGGAAAAUUGAUCAUGAAAGAAGAUUUAACUCUGGCAGACUCUUUCGCUCUGGCAGAGAAGCAUGCACUUUGGGACGAGGCUCGCCAAUGCACAUUCAAGGACUUGAAGAAGUACCCGACAUCACCUCCCUACUAUCCAAACCGGAAGCAGCGGUGGACUUAUUCGCAUGUUUGACGGUAUCUAAAGCAGCAUUAAGCCCUACCAUCAUGUGAGAAGAGCUGGGGGCCCAACUACCUGUAUUCUACAGUUCAAAAGCUCUCCUCGAUGUUAUUAAAAAUUCAAAAGAUAACUUUGACGAUAGUUGUUGUAACUUGGAAGCUCAAGUUUUACCUUCAAACGCAUGCAGUCAUCCUUAUGACGCAGUAUUUCGCCUAAUCCAGACACGCAACGAUAAAAGCGUAAGACCUUGGCGAAUGCAAAGUUUUUUGAUGAACUCAACAACUCGACCCAAAAGACGCACCAAGGGCAAACGAACAUUGGAAGGACACACUCGAAAGCAAGUUUUGUCUUUGUCGCCCUAAAAGAUUCUACAUAGAGCAACAUGUACCGGUAGUUCAACACCACUUCCUACUAUGUGUCACACGGUCCCAGCCGACCCUUGCUUUAUAAUUCAACUCUAAAAUGGUCCAAUACCAGCAUUUGAGCAUCCUCUGCUGCAUGUAAUAUGGCUCUAGCUCCAUGGCUCCCUACCACGCAUUCAUGACGCAACAGAGCGGCCCAACGACUCCCCGAAGGUAGCAGAGCGCGCCCUAGCCGCGCCUGCUCCACCCUAUGGAGACUUUUGGUAUUUGCAUGUCCACAUCGCAUCCAAUUACAAAGGUUUAAGAGCAGGCGUAGUCCUUGUCAUCCAGACAAUUCGAUGUCUAGGUUUCAAAGUAUCCAACAACAAAGCAGAAUACGAUACCCUAUUAGCAGGCUUCCGAAUGGCAAAAGACUUGGCAGUGAAAAAGCUCGCAAUUCAUUCUGAUUCCCAGCUAAUCACUAGCAAGACUGCUUUGGUUUUAAUAAUGUCAAUUUGAAUUUUAAGCUCCUCAAUCAAUUUCUUUUCACCAUGUAACUCCUUUCCUAAGCUUGCAAUUGUACUUUUUACCAAACUCAGUUCGCUUGUUAAAGAAUUUUGCUCUUUGUUUGCCUUUGUAAGUUGCUUGCUCCAUUCUUCCUGUUCACCUAGUAACUUAGAUUCAUAGCUCUUCCCCAAUGAAAAGAAGCUUCCUUUUCUUUCAGCUUGGUCUUCAUCUGUGCAUUUUCAACCAAAGUAAAUGUGGGUUAAAUCAAACAAAGCAUCUAAAAGUAUUUUUACGAACAGAACCCAAAAGUAAAGGAGUAUGAUCUUUCGAGCUCAGAGACUCGUACAUUAACGGGAUGCAUUUCUAUAAAAUAGAGAAACCAGGAAAGCAAAAGGGACCACCAGAGUGAGGAUCGUUUUCAAGGAAGCAUUUAAGAACACAAAAUUGGGAAACAAGUUAAAACACUCAUUACAUUAAAGUUCCUUUUCAAAGAGACUAGACUUUCGUCAGCAUCUAUGGUAUGUCUGUGUUGUCUCAGCAUGUAAAGAAAAGCUUUCUAUGGUAUUGAAUAGAGACUUACAGAUUCGACUAUGGCAUCAGUGACUUUCUUUUCUGACCGAGUCAAUGCAUAGAGCGCACCAAGGACACCAUAACUAAAAAUACCAAUGCCAUUCAGGAGAGACAAAACGUGAUUUGGUGCUGCAUUUGUUUAAAGUGCUUCUUGUUCAAUGAAUAACCCACUUUAGAAAAUUAAGCCUUAUAACAAAUAAUUAACAAAAUAAAAAGGAAAGAUAUUAAAUACAGAUUUCUUUAGGGAGUCUAGUAGACAUUCGUAAUUUCGUACCUCUGUGUUUUUACUCCCCACUGGUGUCUUUAGCUCACUUUCUUCUGGAAAAAAAAAGGAAAUAAAGGAACUAAUGCAUAAACCGCAUGAAAUAAGAUGGAAACUUGUUACAAAAGAUAAUAAUUUAUAGUAACACCAGUCCAUUUUAAGAAAAGAACUAAAAAUGCAGCGCAUUGUAAGAAUCUUUGUAAAAAGAAUAUAUAAAGAGAAGGUUUAGUAAAUACCCUAAACUACCUUUGAAAUAUUAUUGCUUAAUUAAUAGGAUCCGCACAUAUAUCCUAACUUUGCGCAUUUAAAGGAUAUGAACUAUGUUUUGUGAAACCCAUUAGGCCUAAGCCCAGGAACCAAGCCCAGACCUGGACCCGAAUCUGGCCCAACCUAGUCGGAUCCCAAUAUCCUAGGCCGCUUGUGGGCCUGCACGUGGGUGCGCAUGGGUGCUUGCCUUGGUCGGCGCGUGGAGCACUCGUGCCUCUACCGGAGGUACUGUGCUCCGCCAUCGUCCACGGCGGUGUCGACGACUUUUCUGGUGACCUAAAAUGGCGCGUGAGGACCUGUGCGGUAGGGCAUGGGGGUACCUGAGGUCUCCCACAUGUUUUUCGACGUCCUGAAUCUGUUUAUGAUGUUCUUUUCUUGAAAUUCAAUCGUUUGAGUAUAGUUUUAUUAAUUAGACCCUUUAUGUGCUUAGGUGUAUUUAUUGCAGCGUUUCAGUCUUCGCUAGUUGCAUGACUUUUCGACGGCGAAUUAUCUAUAAGUGGACCCCUUCCAAAAUGCAUAAUUUUACUAUUAGAAAUGCAUACAUGAAAAGCAUGACUUAAUGGUUACGUUUUGAUGUGAAAAUAUAUAAGCACACAAAUUAAAACCCUCUUUUGACAAUUGUAGUAUAUGUAUAAGUAGGGAUCGUUCUGGACCGAGGAUUAGGAGAGAUUGCUAAUCUAUGCUAAACUAACUUUAAAACACAAAACUAGGCUUAAAAUACUUAACUAGACUCAAAGAAUGGAAAACUAGACUCUAAUACACUAAAACAACUCAAAUGACUCAAACAGCACAAAACAAGCUAAUUAGACUCAAACUAGACACUAGGAGUAAAUUUGGACGAAAAUUGGUUUUACUUUGACUCAAAACACUUAAAAACACAAACGAAAACAAUUUCUAACUAAUAUGACUCAACAAAGUAAAGGGGGAUUUGGUUUUGACGAAUUUAAAGCAAAAACAAAUAACUAAAGACUUAGAAUAGAUUGUAAACGAAUUUGGGAAAUAAGAUGGUUGAUGGAUUAGCUAGAGGUCCAUUCUUCACACAUGACACUCUUGUACAUGAAUCGAUUUCCAAUUGCUUUUCAAUAAAUUAUGAAGCUCAACACCCCAGAUUAACCGUGAUGCACUAAUUAACCCUCAGAUUUUCCUUUACUUAUUGAAUUGGAUGAAUGCAUGCGACAACCCAAAUCAUUCUCCAAAAGUCCCCUAUAUGAAUGCAUAAUAGAGAUACAAUCAAAGAUAUUUACGGUCCAUGAAAAUCAUAAGUGUUGACAAGACAUUCGUAACUGUGAAUGCAUGAUACAUUGGCCAAGAAUUCAAUUAACGCAAUUGUGAGUAGCAACCUUUACUACUUAUGAAUAUAAAUUUGUAACGAUUAGGUGAAACUCAUUUAUAUUCUAGCAUUAAAUUCAUGCAUGAAAACUAAGUAUGCAUCCCUAAUUAACAUACAAGAAUCAGUUUGGAAGAAAACAGUUAAUUAAAUUGCAUUCACAACUUAUCAAAUCACAAUUGGAAGAAAUCAAUUCAUAUCUCAAGGAUGUUCAUGGCUUCGAAUCUCCCCCUAGCUAAAUAGGGGUUUAGCCACUCAUGUUCACAGCAAAACAAAAGAAAAAAAAAAUUAAAACACUGUAAACAUAGAACGAAUUACACCUAGAAUGCUCCAACAAUCAACCUCGAACAUCCAAAAGGCCUCCCUUCUUUUUUUCUUGCUGCGGCACAAAGGUGGAUGAAGUGUAUGAGAUGAGUUUUGUGAUCAGGAAUAUGUUUUUGGUUGAAUAGGGCUGCGGCAAGGAUGUAUGGUGGUGGAGAAUGAUGUAGAAUGGUGAAUUGUUGCGACUGAGAGGUGUUUCUAAAUGGUAGAAGGGUGUGUGUCGAAUUUUGGCUGAAAAACUUAUAUUUAUAGGCUAGGGUUUUCACAAAUCCUGAUGGGAAAAAGCUAGGGUUUUGUAGAAAAAGGCUUGGCCCAAUCCAAGGUGGAAAAGAACUAGGGUUUGUGGAAAAUUUUUAGGCUUCUAGAAAGAGAAUAGGCACCACUUUUUUAGGCUUCUAGAAAGAACAUAUUUUGUGGCAGAAAUUAGGACUUCUAGAAGGGUUUGGGGCGUCACCUUUCUAGGUCUUCUUGAAAGGUGGGUGCGGCAUGUGUUUAAGGGAAGAUAUCGGCCUUCUAAAAGGGUUUUAGGUGCCUUUGCAGCUGACUAUUCAUCUUCCAAGUCUUGAAUUGAUUUCUCCAUCUCUUUAGCACGUUCCUAGCUUCACUUGAUCUUCAAAAACGUCCAUUCCGGCCCAUAAUUGCUCUAAAAUGCUUCAAAAUGCACUUUCUUGCCAACUUUGCCAAUUAAAUCUACAAACAAACGAAAAUAGCUUAAAUCACUAUAAUAAACACAAACUAACUAUGAAAAUGUAAGAAAACAAGCUAAUUAAGUCGCAUAAAUAUGCUCAUAUCACGUUUUAUGAAAUGUUUAUGAUUAAAUUGGUUUUACGCUUUAUGAUAUUUCAUGAUUUAUCGAAUUUACGUUCUUUGUGGUAUAUAUGAUUGAUGACUAUAUACUAUGAAGAUGAUUUAAGAUAUGAUGUUUGAGCUACUAAGCUCUGUUGAGAUAUAUAUACUUAUAUUCUGGAAAGAUUAUGUUCAAUGAUUUUUAUGUUUAUCUAGUGGUCACUAUGUUGUGCCUACGGGCAUAUGAUCUGCCUACGGGCGACUGAUCUGCCUACGGGCGACUGACCUGCCUUCGGGCGAUACUCAUAAAUUUGCAUUUGCAUAUCAAGCUUAUUUUUCCAGAUUCCUUAUGUGUAGUGCAGUUGUCUAGUAAAAAAUUUCGUCUAUUAUCCAGUUGUCUAGGCACACAAAUUAAGACAGCCCACAUGGGCCAUCUAACACUUUUUUCCCAAAAAUGGAUUUUCAGCCCUAGGUCUUUCUAUAUUGAUUUUACACAUGACACGUGACUUUUCAUCCCCUAUCUUUGUCUGACACUCAGCCAUCUUUAUAAAGUCAUUCUAGGGCUUAUUUGCUGUUGGGAAUUUGAGAUUGGAAAAGUUUUUAGAGUUUUAUUUUCAUCUCUACCUCAGAUCUCCUAGGAGCAUCAAGCAUAUUUUAUGUGCAAUGUUCUUCAUUGAAUAUUUCUAAACCUAUCUUUGAAUUGCUUGCUUAAAUUCAUUUUAUAUGCUCUUUUGUUUUGGCUAGGAGUUUUACACUUUUAGAAAAAAGUUGAUUUUAGUUUUGAGCUACCUCUUAUGUUUUUACUUGAAAACCCUAGCUACAAAAUCACACUUAUGCGCUAAAUACCCACCAUUGCAUAUUAGGGUAGCAUUGUUUUUGUGAUUUUGAUUUUUGUUUUAGGUUAAGUUUUCCAAGUUUCAAAUCUGUGAACUGACCUGUUUUGGAUUCUCAUCAAUUUCAUUUUUAAAGUGUUUGAUUGGUGAACUGACUAGACAUCGAAUCCAGAUUUGCAUAUCUUUGUCAUAUCAUCAUAUGUAUAGUUUGUGUGUUGGUUUCAGUGCCACAAGGUGAAGAGUUCAGGAAGAGCUAUCAUCUUGUGAACACUGAAGACAACACUAUUUCAAUUUCAUAAGGUGAAGAGCUCAGGAGGAGCUGUCACAUCGUGAAGAUCGAAGGAAUCUAUCUCGCUUAAAGAAAGGUUGCACAAAGGUAAAAUUGCUCCGUAGAUAGGGAUCUAGGAAUUGAGCUUGUGUGGUCUUUGUACGAACCUUUGUUUACACUAGUGGAUGCAACUACUAAAGUGCAGUGGACGGUUGUAAUAUUUUGUGUAUGUUUUAAUUAAAAAAAAAAAAAGCUUUCAACCUUUUAUGUUUAAAUUGUACAAAUUAAACAUUUCAUCUAUAAACCUUUUCGAACCUCUGUUCUCAAUAAUGUUAAUGUUUUGUGAUACCAUUUUUGCAUCUUUCAAACACAGUUUUUAAUACAGUUUUCAAACCUCUGGCAAUGCGCGUGUGACCCAUUCUAGUAUAUAUUAAAUGACAUGAACGAAAUUAAAACUUGAGCAAUGAAGUUUCCAUAAUGCUGGCUCUUGACACCCUUGAGUUUUAUUUCCAACUUGCAUCUAUGUUGAUUUUCACUCAUAGAGAUAAUAGGGAGAACCAAGUAGGCAGGAGAUACUUGUCUGCUCUCCACUUUUCUUCUGAUUUGUAUUCUUCGUUGUUGUCGUUCUAAAUUCACAUCAAGCCAUUAUAAAGGAUAGGGUAGCCUGCACAUGAGAAGGGGGCCUUGUAUUCAAUUAAACAUUAAUGAUCUAAGUUAGUUAGAGAGCUUUACUAUAUAUGUUCAGGUGAGGGGGCUUUGUGCAUCCAUCUUGGAUUCAACUACAAAACUGAUGUAUAAUCUUGUAUAAGUAUGUGCAUACAUCACACUUCCCACAACAGAUACAUAAAGUAUACUUUACCUCUCUCUCACUUUCUCAUUUUGCAAGUCCAAAAGAUCUUUCUAGAAGAACAAGUCUCUCACCGAACGCCUCUAGCACCAUUUGACCUCGCACGCUAUAAAACCUAACACCAAUUCCCAACAUUAAAAAAUAAAUUCAAUUUAAUUAAAUUAAAUCAUAAGAAGCAUAGAUUUGAGGAAUAAAUUUCUGUAUAUAUUCAUCAAACAAGAAUUACAGCUUUAUACAAAGACUACCACGAUACUAUCAUAUUUUAUUGCCUAUAAAUAAGGCUAAUUAACAACUAAACAGGAAAGUAAAUAUCAAUACACGAUAUUGAAUAAUUAAUCUGAGAUUCCUUCCUUACACUCCCCCUCAAGUUAGAGUGUAUGUUAAUGACAGUCAACUUGUUGAGCAACAUUUCAAACUAUGUCGAACUCAAUGGUUUGGUGAAUAUGUCAACUUGCUGAUCACCUAUCUGUAUGUAGGUUGUACGUAUCAUUCCUCUUUGAACCUUCUCUCGCACUAGGUGACAAUCAAUCUCUAUGUGCUUUGUUCGUUCAUGAAAAACAGGAUUCGAAGCAAUGUGUAUGGAGGCUUGAUUGUCGCAAAACAAUGAAACCGGUUGUUGAUGAUUUACUUCCAAAUCGUUUAAGAUAUUUCUCAGCCAUGUAAUCUCACAAUACGUAGUGGCCAUAGAACGGUAUUCGGCUUCUACGCUAGAGCGAUAUACAGUGGUUUACUUAUUAGUUUUCCACGAAAUUGGUGCUUGGCCAAGUAAAACACAAUAACCCGUUAUCCAUUGUCUAGUAUCUUUGCAUCUAGCCCAAUCAGCAUCACAAAAUGCUCGUAACUGUAAUGAUCUUGUGGAAGGAAAGAAAUUACCUUGCCCAAGUGCCUGUUUAAUGUAUUUUAGUACUUUGUGUGUGGCAUCAAGAUGUGGUUGCUAAGGCUUAUCCAUGAACUAACUUAACACAUGCAUGGCAUUGGCCAAGUCUGGUAUUGUUAUUGUCAAAUAUAUCAAUCUACCCACAAGUCUUCUAUAUGAUGAAGGAUCGUCCAAUAACCGUCCUUCCAUUUGCGUGAGGGCCAAAUUUUGGUCUAAGGGAAACCGGGAAGGUUUCAUGCUUAAAAACCCAACAUCAUCCAAUAUCUUUUGCGCAUAUUUGCAUUGACAUAGAGUGAUUCCAUGCUUUGAUCGUGCAACUUCUAUCCACAAGAAAUACUUGAGCACCCCCAAGUUUUUCAGUUUAAAAUGGUGAGAGAAACUGUUUAGUCUUUUCAAUUUCACGUAAAUCGUUCCCUGCCAAUAUUACGUCGUUAACAUAGACCAGUAAAGCAGUGAAUAUACCUUGACGACUUCAGACGAACAAUGAGUAAUCAGACAAAGAUUGUUCAAACCCAGCAACCUUGAGAGCAUUGGAUAAUUUGAUGAACCAUUGCCUCGAAACUUGCUAUAAACCGUAAAAAGAUUUGUGCAACUUGCACACUCGAGUCUCCCCCUUUCGUCCGAAACUAGGAGGCAAAGUCAUGUAAACAUCCUCUUCCAAGUCACCAUUUAAAAAAGCAUUGUUCACGUCUAGUUGAUAAAAGGUGUUAACCUUGCAAGGCUGCAACAUUGAGGAGGACAUAGAUUGUGGUCAACUUAGCCACGGGAGCAAAAGUGUCAUGGUAAUCAACCCCCUCGAUUUGACUGUACCCCUUUGCAACAAGAUGUGCCUUGUACUGUUCGAUUGUCCCAUCGGGUUUGAGCUUCACCUUAUAAACUCACUUGCAUCCAAUAGGGCCUUUAUGAGAAGGAAAAGGCAUGAGCGUCCAUGUGUUAUUUGCAUGGAGGGCAGCAAGCUCAUGUUGCAUGGUAGCAUGCCAAUGUGGAUCUUGGACAGCCUGGGAAAAGCUAGUAGGUUCCUUAAAGAGGGUGAGAUUAACAGUAUAUGCUUUAUAUGUGGGUAAGAGAUGAUCAUAGGAUAAGUGAGUAGCGAUGGGAUGAGAGGUACUUGACUUAACCACGUUCGUUGAAGAUGCGGGAGCAGUCCUUAAAGGGAGAUAGGCCUUGACGUGAAAGUCAUGCAAAAAGGAUAAGGGUUUUGUGGGUCGGGUACCGCGGCGGAGUAGGGGUGGGGUAAGUGUAGGCGAGGGUGCUGUGGGAUUUGAAGGUAAAGGCAUGGAGGUGGGGUGGUGGUAUCAUCUAAGGGAGGAUUGGAAAGUGAAGGUAGGGAAGACAUGAGAGAUGAGGUAUGAGUAGCAUCUGAAGGUGAAUGGGAUCAUUGGAGGAAGAGAGAGGUUGAGACGAUGCAAAGAAAUGAUCCAUGUCAAAGUGGAGCAAGGAGGCAGGAGGGUGAGGUGGAGUGGUAAAGGCAGCGGAAUUGUCUAAGUGUUGAUAAGGGAAUUGGUCUUCGAAGAAAAUGACACCCCUGGAGACAAACACUUUUUGAAGAUGAAGAUCAAAUAGUUUAUAACCUUUUUGACCAUAAGGAUACCCUAGAAAAAUACAACGACGCGCACGGGGAUCAAACUUGGAAGGUUUUUGUGCAUGAGUGGAUGCAAAACAAACACAACCAAAGACCCGUAAGUGUGAGUAUUUGGGUGGUUUUUGAAACAACUUUUCAUAUGGUGUUUGCCCAUGAAGAAUGGGUGUUGGUGUGCGAUUAAUGAGAUAUGCUGAAACAAGGAUUGUGUCCCCCAAAAAUCGUUUAGGUAAAUGAGCUUGGAAAAGCAAUGCUCGAGCAACAUUAAGCAAAUGUCUAUGCUUGUGUUCAAUGAAACCAUUUUGUUGUGGUGUGUUGACACAACUAGUUUGAUGGAUGAUUGCUUCUAAGGCAUAAAACGUGUCAAGUUUAAACUCGGGACCAUUAUCACUACGAACCAUUUUGACUUUAGUGUUGAAUUGUGUUUCAACCAUAUGAAUGAAUUGGGUGAGAAGCCCCUUGGUGUCAGACUUAUGUUUCAGCAAAUUGAUCCAUGUGCACCUAGUAUGAUCAUCAACAAUGGUAAGGAAGUACUUGGCACCGAAAAGAGAAGACACUUGGUAACCACCCCAAAUGUCAACAUGUAUCAAUUCAAAACAUGAUGUGGUAGACAUGGAACUUAAAGAAAAAGGAAACCUUGUUUGUUUAGCCAAAGGGCAAAUUAAGCAUUGACUUAUGCCACAAGUUUUAUUGGAGACAAAAGGAAGUAACAUGGUAACUUUAUGGGAUAGGUGUCCUAGGCGUUGAUGCCAAAAGCUGGAAGGAGUGGUUUAGACGGCAUUGCAUGUUCCUUUCUUUGGUGGAUCAAGAUAGUAGAGUCCCUCCCGUUCAAUUCCCAUCCCAAUCAUCUUCCCUGAGAAUAAGUCCUGUAUGACACAAAAAUGGUUUAAGAAAAUCAUAAUGGAGAGGGAAUCAUAGGUUAAUUUGCUAAUAGAGAUUAAAUUUAACUUUAAAAGUGGAACAUAAAGGACAUUGUCAAGAAUAAGGUUAGGAGAAAAAAUAACUUGGCCAACAUGAGUGACCGUGGUAAUGGAUCCAUUGAGUAACUCAACGGUGUGAUUUCUAAUGGGCCUUGAGGACGUAAGGGAGUCGGGACUGCAAACUAUGUGAUCUGUAGCACCACUAUCCAAGAUCCAAACAUUUUUCUUGCCAUGAUGUAUGAAUGAAAAAGCUUUACCUGAAAGGUCUUCGUGAUGUGAGGAAUUACCAACGUGAUUGGCAAAAGAUGGUUUGUUCUUAUUCAACAUUUGGAGGAUUUGUUUGCAAUCUUCUUCAGAUAAUGGAAAAUUGGACAUCACCUCCUUAUUGGUCACGACAACUUGAUUUCCCUUGGAAGAACGACUUGGUUCGAUUUUUGUGGCUGAUUUUCUUUUGCGGCAAUACUCAUAUGAAUGGCCUUUCCAUCUGCAGAAAGUCCAUUUGAGAUGGGUACGGCAGUUCUUUGUGGUGUGGUUCGUCUUGUUGCACUUUCCACAUCGUAGACCACCUUCUUCGGAUUCCUUCUCUCAACUAGCACCUUUCACAACGAACACAAUAGCUUCUGGUUGGGCAAUGCUCUUUCCUCUUCAAACUUCGGCUUGCCUCUCAUGGCAAAGGACAAGUGAAUAAGCCUUGUUUAUAGUGGGCAAAGGCUCAAGAAGAAGAGUAUUGUUGCGAAUGGUAGAGUAAGAUUCGAUCAAACCCAUGAGAAACUUCAUCGUCUUCUAGGUUUCAAUGUAGGAGGUGAUCUCUUUCUUCGUGUCACAGCCACAAGUCGGGAUAGAACAAAGCAUGUCUCGUUCAUCCCAAAGGCUUUUCAGUUUGGUGAAAUACGAACUUACCGUCAUAUUGCCUUGUAUGUAGUCGUGAAUCUCGUUUUCUAUGUGAAAUAAUUGGACAAUGUUCAUAUGAUAAAACCUUUCUUGCAGGUCAAGCCACAUCUGCUGUGCAUCCUUGCAGUGCAUGACGCUCCCAUAGAUUUCCUUUGACAUGGAACCAAGCAACCACAUUUUCACCAGGUUGUUGCAUCGAUUCCAUUGUUGUAAUUCUUCAAAGUGUUCUUCACUUGGCUUCUUGAUCGCUCCAUCAACAAGCCCUAAUUUGUUUUUGACCGUCAAGGCUAUGGUCAUGGAUUGAGCCCAUGUACCUUAGUUAUCUUCCACAAUAGGCUAUGGCACAAGUAUUGCACCAAGUUGAUUCGAGUGGUGGAGGUAAAGUGGGUGAUUGGGAUUUUCCUACUUUUAAUGCGAAGUCAUGCCUAAAGAGAUUGACUUGUCUGGUUUGUCGCCCAUGGCUAUGUUUGCUAGGGUUUGUGUUUGUUUCUUUGUUUUUUAUUUUCCCAGAUAUCGUUCACUCUGGUACCAUCAUAAGAAGCUUAGAUUUAAGGAAUGAAUUUCCGUAUAUAUUCAUCAAACAAGAAUUACAACUUUAUACAAAGACCACCAUGAUACUAUCCGAUUCUAUUGCCUACAAAUAAGGCUAAUUAACAACUAAACAAGAAAGUAAAUAUCAAUACACGAUAUUGACUAAUUAAUCUAAGAUUUCUUCCUACUUUAAAAAAUAUAUAACAUGCGAAAAUUAUAGAAACGAAAAAGAAAAAGAAGGAAUUUUAACGCAAAGCUUCCAGUACUGUUUACUUUAACGAACCUCAUUUUUAUACUAAAAAGUCAAUCAUGAUACUAUUCACUUUAUCAUUUAUUUGGUCCUUAUCGUUAAAACUUUUUCAUUAGUGUAAAAAAAAAAAAAAAAAAAAAAAAACCCCAAGCCUCAUUAAGUUGAGCAUAUCUUCUUCUUCUUCUCCCCCCCCCUCUCUCUCUCUCUCGCAACCUUUUCUGUUUCUCCACAAAAGCGUUCCCGCAGAGGCUUCGAGAAACCCUACGGAAGCUCUUUGUCUCGCAACCUCCUCUGUUUCUGCACAAAAGCGUUCCCGCAGAGGCUUCGAGAAACCCUACCGAAGCUCUCUCUCUCUCUCUCUCCUCCCUCUCGCUCCUCGCGUCCUCAGACUCUCUGUGGAUCUCCCUCGAGGUACGGUACGCUCCCUUAAACCAUAGACUUUGCAUCGAAUCAGAUCUCUAUGUAAAAAUGUUGUUAGAUCUGAUGUAGAUUUUACUGUUUCCCGAUUUGGACAUUUUACUCUGGGUUUAGCCUCCGUGGGGUUUUAAGUGUUGAACUACCUCACUUUCUGCUUCGAUUCAAUUUUUUGCUUCAAUCUUUUGGGGUGUCUAUAUUUGGGUUUGAGCUAGAUUCGGUGAAUAUAUGAUUACAUUAGUUUGAGCAGAUUCUGGUAAUUAGAUAAUCAUGGGGUAUAUAGACUGCUUGGGUGAUUAGCGUUGGUUGGAAUUUGCAAUUAGGAUCGGUUAUUUUUAAUUUUUUUAAACAUUAUUGUUUUGUAUGUUAUGUAAUUUGAAUGGGGACAGGGGUUUUUAUCCAAGAUUUGCGGAGGUGUAAUUUGUGGUCUUAUUUUUCUGUUUCCUUUAGCUACUGUAUUAUUUAUUUCUGAUACUGUAAUCACCUUGAGGACGGUGAAGAUAUUCAUCGUCCGAUUUUUGGUUGUUUCUAUGAUUGAAUGGUAGUUUCCCUUGUGCUUUGUUUGAACUGGUGUUAUUUAUUUGGAAUUGAGUUUCAGUUGUUUAGUGUAUGUGGGUUCUUGCUUGAUUUGGAAUUUCAGUUUCAGUUGUUUAGUGAAUGUGGAUUCUUACAUGAUUUGGAAUUUUAGUUUCGGUUGUUUACUAAAUUUGGGUCUUAGUUAUUUUCCAGACUUAAAAUUCUGCAAGGAUGAGUGUGGUGGGGUUUGAUUUUGGCAAUGAGAGCGGCAUUGUGGCCGUAGCCAGGCAGAGGGGUAUUGACGUUGUGCUCAAUGAUGAGUCCAAACGUGAAACUCCGGCCCUUGUUUGUUUCGGUGACAAGCAGCGGUUCAUUGGGACAGCUGGGGCUGCUUCCGCAUUGAUGAACCCCAAGAACACAAUUUCCCAGAUUAAACGCUUGAUUGGUAAGCAAUUCUCUGAUCCUGUGUUGCAGAGGGAUAUCAAGUCCUUGCCUUUUGCUGUUUCUGAAGGGCCUGAUGGAUAUCCAUUGAUUCAUGCCCGUUAUUUGGGAGAAGCAAAGACAUUUACACCUACCCAAGUUCUUGGAAUGCUGUUUUCUGAUCUGAAAAUCAUAGCCGAGAAGAAUCUCAAUGCAGCUGUUGUCGAUUGCUGUAUUGGGAUUCCAGUGUAUUUUACUGAUCUCCAACGAAGAGCUGUUAUGGAUGCAGCAAAAAUUGCUGGAUUGAACCCUCUUCGCUUGUUCCAUGAAACUACAGCAACUGCUUUGGCUUAUGGUAUUUACAAGACGGAUUUACCAGAAAAUGACCAAUUGAAUGUUGCCUUUGUUGAUGUUGGGCAUGCUAGCAUGCAAGUUUGCAUUGCUGGUUUCAAGAAAGGGCAGCUGAAAAUAUUGGCUCAUUCCUUUGACCAGUCUUUGGGAGGUAGGGACUUUGAUGAAGUACUGUUCCACCACUUUGCAGCAAAAUUCAAGGAAGAGUACAAAAUUGAUGUUUUACAGAAUGCAAGGGCUUGCCUUCGCCUUCGUACCGCUUGUGAGAAGUUGAAGAAGAUGCUUAGUGCAAAUCCUGUGGUACCUUUGAAUAUAGAGUGUUUAAUGGAAGAGAAGGAUGUUAGGGGAAUUAUUAAGCGGGAUGAAUUUGAGCAGAUUAGUAUUCCUAUUUUGGAACGUGUGAAGGGACCUUUGGAGAAGGCCCUUCUUGAUGCACAGCUUUCAAUAGAGGACAUUCACACAGUUGAGGUUGUCGGUUCAGGCUCUCGUGUUCCUGCUAUAAUCAAGAUAUUGACAGAUUUCUUCAAAAAGGAGCCUAGGCGAACUAUGAAUGC
rnacentral:lncRNA from 1 species